rnacentral:misc_RNA from 1 species
GAAUUGCGAUACGUAUUAUGACUUGCAGACGUGAAUCAUCAAUCUUUGAACGCACAUUGCAUCGGGGGGUAUUCCCCCCGAUAUACCAUGUUGAGCAUAUUAUUUCUCCUUCGGGGCCUUACUUUCCAAAAUCUAAUCAACUACGUUAUUAGAAAGCCUAAUCUUCUCAGCAUGGCAGGACUACCCGCUGAACUUAA